GUCAAAGUUGCAGAUAGCUCAAUGGCCUGCCUAACCGUAGUGGGUUGAAGCAAGAACCUGGUGGAAAACGACCUUGAGCAGGAUUGUUGCCAGCUUGAUUUGGUGCACCUGCAGCUGGGCAAACCCUUGCUGUAUGGCCUAUGAGUCUACAAACUUGGCAUGCGCGGCACUUCACACCAGCAUGAUGAUGUAGGUUACAUUGGUUGCACAAGGGUGCAGUUCCGUUGUAGGGCU
rnacentral:lncRNA from 1 species